rnacentral:rRNA from 1 species
AACGAACGCUGGCGGCAUGCCUAACACAUGCAAGUCGAACGAGACCUUCGGGUCUAGUGGCGCACGGGUGCGUAACGCGUGGGAACCUGCCCUUAGGUUCGGAAUAACUCCCCGAAAGGGGUGCUAAUACCGGAUAAUGUCUUCGGACCAAAGAUUUAUCGCCUUUGGAUGGGCCCGCGUUGGAUUAGCUAGUUGGUAGGGUAAAAGCCUACCACGGCGACGAUCCAUAGCUGGUCUGAGAGGAUGAUCAGCCACACUUGGACUGAGACACGGCCCAGACUCCUACGGGAGGCAGCAGUGGGGAAUAUUGGACAAUGGGCGAAAGCCUGAUCCAGCAAUGCCGCGUGAGUGAUGAAGGCCUUAGGGUUGUAAAGCUCUUUUACCCGGGAUGAUAAUGACAGUACCGGGAGAAUAAGCUCCGGCUAACUCCGUG